rnacentral:lncRNA from 10 species
GUGCUGUCCCCAAAGUCGGGGUCUGUCUCAGCUCUAACAGCAAAGCCGGUCUUUCUCCUGUCUCCACCCCCUUCCUCCUCAUGGUACUUGUACCUCUACUGAUUUUAUACUUGUUUAUUAAUCCUCAGGCUCCCCCCAGCAGAAUGUCAGCUCCUUGAGGGAUGGGAUCUUGUCUCAUUCUCUGCUGCAUCCUCAGCAGGGGGUAGGGUGCCUGGGACAUUGAGGUAUUCACCAACAGCUGUCAGGUCACCUGCCUGUCUCCUUGGAAAGUUAGCUCCAUGCAGGUUCAGCCUGGGCUGCCCUGCCUACCAUUGCCUCCCCAGUGCCCUCAUGGUGUACUCCAUGGAAGAGAACAGACUCCGGACCCCCAGAGAGACUAUGAACUGACCACUGCAGCCCAAGGAGCACCUGCAGGGUUUAGGGGUCCAGGGCUGAGGCCUAGGACCAUCACCAUGGCAGUCACUGUCAUCUCCAUGACUACAAUCAUCACCUCCAUGACCAACCACCAUCACCUCCAUCAUCACCACUGUCAUGAGGGAAAUUGUGUCCUCCCAAAAAAUAGGUUCGGCCAGGCAUCAUGGCUCAUGCCUAUAAUCCCAGCACUUUGGGAGGUUGAGGUGGGUGGCUCACCUGAGGUCAGGAGUUCCAGACCAGGCUGGCCAAAAUGGUGAAACCCCGUCUCUACUGAAAAUACAAAAAAUUAGCCGGGCGUGGUGACGGGCGCCUGUAAUCCCAGCUACUUGAGAGGCUGAGGCAUGAGAAUUGCUUGUAUCCGGGAGGCGGCGGUUGCAGUGAGCCGAGAUCACGUCAUUGCACUCCAGCCUGGGCAACAAGAGCAAAACUCCGUCUCAAAAAAAAUAAAUAAAUAAAAGACAAAAAUGUUAGGUUCAAGUCCUAAGCC